CAGCAGCCGCGGGAAUACGGAGGGAGCUAGCGUUGUUCGGAAUCACUGGGCGUAAAGCGCACGUAGGCGGAUUUUUAAGUCAGGGGUGAAAUCCCGAGGCUCAACCUCGGAACUGCCUUUGAUACUGGAGAUCUUGAGUUCGGAAGAGGUUGGUGGAACAGCUAGUGUAGAGGUGAAAUUCGUAGAUAUUAGCUAGAACACCAGUGGCGAAGGCGGCCAACUGGUCCGACACUGACGCUGAGGUGCGAAAGCGUGGGGAGCAAACAGGAUUAGAUACCCCCGUAGUCCCUGUCUCUUAUAC
rnacentral:rRNA from 1 species